GACGAACGCUGGCGGCGUGCUUAACACAUGCAAGUCGAACGGAAAGGCCCUGCUUUUGUGGGGUGCUCGAGUGGCGAACGGGUGAGUAACACGUGAGUAACCUGCCCUUGACUUUGGGAUAACUUCAGGAAACUGGGGCUAAUACCGGAUAGGAGCUCCUGCUCCAUGUUGGGGGUUGGAAAGUUUCGGCGGUUGGGGUUGGACUCGCGGCUUAUCAGCUUGUUGGUGGGGUAGUGGCUUACCAAGGCUUUGACGGGUAGCCGGCCUGAGAGGGUGACCGGCCACAUUGGGACUGAGAUACGGACCAGACUCCUACGGGAGGCAGCAGUGGGGAAUAUUGCACAAUGGGCGGAAGCGUGAUGCAGAAACGCCGCGUGCGGGAUGACGGCCUUCGGGUUGUAAACCGCUUUCGCCUGUGACGAAGCGUGAGUGACGGUAAUGGGUAAAGAAGCACCGGCUAACUACGUG
rnacentral:rRNA from 1 species